rnacentral:rRNA from 1 species
UACAGAGACCCCAAGCAUUAUCCGGAAUUACUGGGCGUAAAGCGCGAGCAGCCGGUCGCAUUAGUCUGAUGUAAAACCGUGGGGCCCAACCUCACGUCUGCGUCGGAAACGGUGCGGCUUGAGCGGAUGAGAGGAGAGCAGAACGUAUGGUGUAGGGGUGAAAUCCACUGAUAUCAUACGGAAUACCAAAAGCGAAGGCAGCUCUCUAGCGUCUUGCUGACGGUCAAUCGCGAAAGCGUGGGGAUCAAAAAGG